CCUACGGGAGGCAGCAGUGGGGAAUAUUGCACAAUGGGGGAAACCCUGAUGCAGCAACGCCGCGUGAAGGAAGACGGUUUUCGGAUUGUAAACCUCUGUUCUUAGUGAAGAAUAAUGACGGUAGCUAAGGAGCAAGCCACGGCUAACUACGUGCCAGCAGCCGCGGUACUACGUAGGGGGCAAGCGUUAUCCGGAUUUACUGGGUGUAAAGGGAGCGCAGGCGGCUUGGCAAGUCAGAUGUGAAAACUCGGGGCCAAACCCCGGGAGUGCAUUUGAAACUGCCAUGCUGGAGUGCCGGAGAGGUAAGCGGAAUUCGUGGUGUAGCGGUGAAAUGCGUAGAUAUUAGGAGGAACACCAGUGGCGGAGGCAGCUUACUGGACGGUAACUGACGCUGAGGCUCGAAAGCGUGGGGAGCAAACAGGAUUAGAUACCCUGGUAGUC
rnacentral:rRNA from 1 species